UACGUAGGGGGCGAGCGUUGCUCGGAAUUACUGGGCGUAAAGGGUGUGCAGGUGGCUGAUUAAGUCAAAGAUGAAAUCCCGAGGCUCAACUUCGGAACGGUCUUUGAUACUGGUCAGCUUGAGGCUAGUAAAGGUGAGCGGAAUUCCCGGUGGAGCGGUGAAAUGCGUAGAUAUCGGGAGGAACACCUGAGGCGUAGGCGGUUCACUAGGCUAGUCCUGACACUGAGACACGAAAGCUAGGGGAGCAAACGGG
rnacentral:rRNA from 1 species